rnacentral:rRNA from 1 species
ACCGAAAAAGUUUCAGUGGCGAACGGGUGCGUAACACGUGGGCAAUCUGCCGAAAAGUGGGGGAUAGCUCGCCGAAAGGCGAAUUAAUACCGCAUGUGGUGAGGGACGACAUCUUCCUGAAUCCAAAGCCGGGGCAACCUUGGCGCUUUUUGAGGAGCCCGCGGCCUAUCAGCUAGUUGGUGAGGUAACGGCCCACCAAGGCUAUGACGGGUAGCUGGUCUGAGAGGACGACCAGUCACACUGGAACUGAGACACGGUCCAGACACCUACGGGUGGCAGCAGUCGAGAAUUUUUCUCAAUGGGGGCAACCCUGAAGGAGCGACGCCGCGUGGAGGAUGAAGGCUUUCGGGUUGUAAACUCCUGUCAUUUGAGAACAAGGUGCACCGGUUAACUGCCGGUGCAUUGAUAGUCAUCAGAAGAGGAAGGGACGGUUAACUCUGUGCCAGCAGCCGCGGUAAUACAGAGGUCUCGAGCGUUGUUCGGAUUCAUUGGGCGUAAAGGGUGCGUAGGUGGCGCCGUAAGUCGGGGUGUGAAUUUCGGAGCUCUAACUCCGAAACUUGCAUUCGAUACUGCGGUGGCUUUGGAGGGAACUGGGAAGAGGGAGACUUGGGGGAAUUCAUUGGUGGUAACAGUGGAAAAUUGGGUAAAUUUUCAAGUUGGAAACAACCAAGUGGGGAAAGGUGAAGUCCCCUUGGGACAAAGGACCUUGAAAAUUGAGGGCACGAAAAGCCAGGGGGGAGCAAACAGGGGGAUUAAGA